UAAUCUAACGGACACAAAUGCACAGAGAUUAAAAACCAUUUUUUUCUUCUAUCUCCUCCUUCCUCGCCUCUGUUGGGAUUCCCUUACUUGAUCUCGACUCUCCUUAUUUUUCAGUUUCUUCCUUCUUUGACUACAAUGAAAGCGGAGAUGGUGAAGCCUCGGAAGGCGCACGGAAGCUGUAGUGGAGGAAGCCCCGCCUCUGUCGUUGUUGUGAAGGAAGCACCGUGACGCAUCUCUACUCUGUGACGUCUCCCUCCUUCACAGCAAAGACCACUCAUCUUCUUUGAAUCUCUGGUUUGGUGGAUGACAGAGGAAGCUAGUGGAGGUCGAACCAAGCUCUUGGUGACUGGAGGAGGCAAGCCCGUGGCGUCAUUCUCAUUCAGAUACGUCUCUGCUCCUCCGCCAUCCCUCUCCUUCAAAUCCGUCUCUGAUCUUCGGUCCUGUUCCUCUCUUCCCCUCCGCUGUCUUCUCCUCUCUUCCCUACUCUGCUCCUCCACAACAAGACGAAAGAGAAAGAAGGAAAGAAGCAAAGAAGAAGAAGAGACAUCACCGUAACUUGCUCAGAUUCGGCUGGCCAGAGAGGAUGAAGAAGAAGACGCUGUGAAGGUAGUUGAACGCGGUGGUGGUUGAAGGCGGCUGAGUUAGAGGAUAGGGAGUCUUCGUUUUUUUUUUAGGUUUAGUUUUUUUUUGGUUUAGUGUAACCAAAAAUUGUAGUGGUUUAACUUUAUUUUUUAAUUUCUGGUUAGGUUUUUAAACCGGAAUUUAUUUGUAAACCAAUUUUAAUUUAUAAAUAAAAUUUAUUUUAUUUUUAA